UGAUUCAGCUGGCAGAGGAGCUACUGUGGUCAUGAAGACAGUGUGCCCAGGGUGAGCCUUACCUAGUGCCCUCCAGGUGGGCUCACCCCUCCGAUUUCCCCAAAUAUGCGAAAUUUGACUACAUAUUUUGUGAAAUUGGGGGACAGCCAUGUUCAGGGGCUCCCA